CUGCUGCCUUCCGUAGGAGUCUGGGCCGUGUCUCAGUCCCAAUGUGGCCGGCCAACCUCUCAGUCCGGCUACUGAUCGUCGCCUUGGUGGGCCGUUACCCCGCCAACUAGCUAAUCAGACGCGAGUCCAUCUCAGAGCGAUAAAUCUUUGGCAGUCAGAGCCAUGCGACUCAACUGCAUCAUGCGGUAUUAGCAGCUGUUCCAACUGUUACUUCCCCACUCCAAGGCCAGGUUACU
rnacentral:rRNA from 1 species